UGUUAACAAAACUAACAAAAUACAGCCAUGGUUUCGUGUGGAUGCAAGAAACUACACGUGGCAAGAUAACGUAAAGUCAUACAAGUUUGGAGCGGCAUGAAGCAUCCCUAUUUCCACCCACCCUGCUGCUGUCAGAGGAAACUGCUGGUGCAAUGGAGGAUCCAGGAGC